rnacentral:rRNA from 1 species
UACGUAGGGUGCGAGCGUUGUCCGGAAUUAUUGGGCGUAAAGGGCUCGUAGGCGGUCUGUCGCGUCGGGAGUGAAAACUCAGGGCUUAACCCUGAGCCUGCUUCCGAUACGGGCAGACUAGAGGUAGGCAGGGGAGAGCGGAACUCCUGGUGUAGCGGUGGAAUGCGCAGAUAUCAGGAAGAACACCGGUGGCGAAGGCGGCUCUCUGGGCCUUACCUGACGCUGAGGAGCGAAAGCGUGGGUAGCGAACAGG